AAGAGACUAGACGUGCGCACUCUAGACGAAAUGAAAACGUUGAUACUAAAAGUGCAUGCCAUGAGCCAACUGAAAGCAUAGAUAUAGAAACAACACACCUCGAGCCUAUUGAAAAAGAAGUUACUUUUGUUAAUAGCCAGAGUUCACAAACUGUAAGUGAGAUUAAAGUAAAGCCUCGAGUUGGGGGCAGCCGUCGUGUGUAUCAAAAUCCGCUGGAUAAAGUAUGGAAGAAAAAAUCUCGUACUGAAUCUGUUCAGCCACAAGCAAAUCAAGAGAGACGAGAAACUGCUCAAGCACCAAACAUAAUGCACCCUACUUCAUUUCAACCUUCAAAUUAUUCAAUUCCAUCUCCUGAACUGAGUCAUCUUAAUCAGGGUACACAUAUUGUUGUCAUGAGUCCCUCAGAAGUACCGAUAGGAUCCCAUGUAGGACCUGGUCAUCAUAUGGUGAUUGGCUACACUCCUGCCUCUAGUGGGUCCAUAAAUGCACCACUGGUUUAAUUUCGAUACCAAGCACCUCAUUUUGGCAUGUUUCAACAAAAUCUCUUCAACAUUAGACCACAGACUUCAAUUGGUACCAGUCUGAGUCGUUUUGGGAUACCUAAGAUCGGCCCUAGUGGAUCGAUUAGUGGCCCUUUGGUUGCUUGUGGCUACCAACCAAGUACAAACUUGUACAAGCAAAUUCCCUCAAGCAACCUGUAAUUGGCACAUUUACGUGAAGAUACAUCUAUAGGAAGUAUUGCAUUUCAACAGUUAUCAUCAGCACCAUGUGAUAAGAGUCAACUGUUACAGUGUGAAGAACACAACCUACGUUUGAAUAAAUAGAUUUUCUUUCCUCAAAGAACGAAAGAAAAAGAAGAAGAAAUUUUACGUUUUGUGUGCAAAAGUUUGCGAUAUUAAGGUAGGAAGGGACCGAUGCACCAUCCAUAUCCUUCAUGGGACUUUUUGAGGUGGAAAGGAUCUGAUUUUCACAAGCAUGUUUUCUCCACUUAUGUGGAAUUUUGAGAUGGAAAAUCAAAAGAGAUGUUGAUUUGGCUUCUUUGGUGGGAACUCCCAUAAUGGUAUUCAAAUGUUCAAGGCAUCCAUUAGGUGGACUACUGCAAAAAAAAAAAUCAAGGCGGUCCAUUUAGAAUGUAAAUUCUACAUGUCUGAAAUGAUGUUACAAGACGUGUAUGAGAAGAUUACAUUGCUCUUCAGCACUUUUGAGUUUUUAAGCUGCAUGUGGCUUCAUAGCUGGAAGCAGUCGUAGCCCUCAUGGCUCUCCAUGUAGGACAUGAUAUGGUUUUCAACAACAGCCCCUGUAUGUAGCAGCAGAAGCAACACGUUCUUUUCAAAUCAAUGUGGCCUUCUUUUGCUCCCUGCGGUUGUCUUGCGGUUGAUGUUGUGCAAGUUUUGGAUAGGAGCUACCCUGGUCGUUUUGUCUUGGGCUGUUGUGGGUUUGGUGUGGUCUUAUUGUGGUGUGCAGCUGGUUUGUAGGGAUGGUAGUUGGUGGGUGUCAUUGAAGAUUUAGAUCAGUUUUGGGGUGCCAGAUUGGUGGCUUGUUCUGUGGGUCUGUUAUAAUUUUUAAAUUUUUUUAGCCCUGUAUAGUUUUUUUUUUUUUUUGUACAAGUGCUCUAAAUGAUAGCCGUGACUGAUGCCCUUUUUGUUGGCGUCCGCCUAAAUAGUUGUAUAGAACAUUUCCACUCAAUAAUCUUGGGUGGUGUGCUUCCCACCUUUAGAAAAAGAAGAAGAAAGAAUGGGUAUAUAUCAAUAUGGGAAGGAUUUGGAUUUUGAA